rnacentral:rRNA from 1 species
GAACGCUGGCGGCAGGCUUAACACAUGCAAGUCGAACGUAGUGGCGGACGGGUGAGUAACGCGUGGGAACCUGCCUUUGAGUGGGGAAUAACAGUUGGAAACGACUGCUAAUACCGCAUACGUCCUUCGGGAGAGCCUGCGUCGGAUUAGCUUGUUGGUGGGGUAAUGGCCUACCAAGGCGACGAUCCGUAGCUGGUUUGAGAAGAUGAUCAGCCACACUGGGACUGAGACACGGCCCAGACUCCUACGGGAGGCAGCAGUGGGGAAUAUUGGACAAUGGGGGAAACCCUGAUCCAGCCAUGCCGCGUGAGUGACGAAGGCCUUAGGGUUGUAAAGCUCUUUCAGCGGGGAAGACCCGACGUUACCUACAGAAGAAGCACCGGCAAACUCCGUGCCAGCAGCCGCGGUAAUACGGAGGGUGCGAGCGUUAUUCGAAUUACUGGGCGUAAAGGGCGCGUAGGCGGUAAGCAUAGUCAGGUGUGGAAUCCCCGGGCUCAACCCGGGAACUGCAUUUGAUACUGGCUAACUAGAGUUUGGAAGAGGAGAGUGGAAAUUUCCAGUGUAGAGGUGAAAUUCGUAGAUAUUGGGAGGAAUACCAGUGGCGAAGGCGGCCACCUGGCUCGAUACUGACGCUGAGGUGCGAAAGCGUGGGGAGCAAACAGGAUUAGAUACCCUGGUAGUCCACGCCGUAAACGAUGAGUGCUAGGUCUCGGUGUCGCAGUUAACGCAUUAAGCACUCCGACUGGGGAGUAAGGCCGCAAGGUUAAAACUCAAAGGAAUUUACGGGGGCCCGCACAAGCGGUGGAGCAUGUGGUUUAAUUCGACACAACGCGCAGAACCUUACCAGCCCUUGACAGAUACAGGUGCUGCAUGGCUGUCGUCAGCCCGUGUCGUGAGAUGUUGGGUUAAGUCCCGCAACGAGCGCAACCCUUAUCUUUAGUUGCCAGCAUUAAGCGGGCACUCUGGGGAAACUGCGGGUGACAAGCCGGAGGAAGGUGGGGAUGACGUCAAGUCCUCAUGGCCCUUAUGAGCUGGGCUACACACGUGCUACAAUGGCAGUGACAAUGGGGCGCGAAGGGGCAACCCGGAGCCAAUCCCCAAAAACUGUCUCAGUUCGGAUUGCACUCUGCAACUCGAGUGCAUGAAGUUGGAAUCGCUAGUAAUCGUGGAUCAGCAUGCCACGGUGAAUACGUUCCCGGGCCUUGUACACACCGCCCGUCACACCAUGGGAGUUGGUUUUACCCGAAGCCGGUGCGCUAACUACCGGCCACGGUAAGGUCAGCGACUGGGGUG